rnacentral:rRNA from 1 species
UACGUAGGGUGCGAGCGUUGUCCGGAAUUACUGGGCGUAAAGAGCUUGUAGGCGGUUUGUCGCGUCUGCUGUGAAAAUCCGGGGCUCAACCCCGGACUUGCAGUGGGUACGGGCAGACUAGAGUGUGGUAGGGGAGACUGGAAUUCCUGGUGUAGCGGUGAAAUGCGCAGAUAUCAGGAGGAACACCGGUGGCGAAGGCGGGUCUCUGGGCCGAUACUGACGCUGAGGAGCGAAAGCGUGGGGAGCGAACAGG